CCUGACAAAUGAUAAUCCCUGUGUGCCAAACCAACAUCGAUCUUUGUUUUUUUUGUUUGUUAUUAUUCGAACGUGCGUGCAUAUCACAGUGUUUCCGGUGAGUCUCCGAUCGGCGUUGUCCGGUAGCGGUUAAUUGAGUGAAAGGAAUGGUGAGAAAAAGGCGAGUGUUGGGUUGGUAGAGGGCACACAGUGAGGUCCUGUCAUGUUAUUUAACAUAACUCCAAUUUUUCAAAGUUUGAACCUUUAUUAAUUUUGGAGGCAUGGGGACGGACUAUCAUGGGAACCCUGAUUCAUUCUAUCUAUUAUCUAGACCCAAAAGAAAAGGGAACCUUCUGGGUAAGUCAGAAAUGAAAAUGUAUUGAAAAUAUGAUAAUAUGAUAUCAAUAAUACUUACUGUUUAGGGUUUAGGAUUUAGGGUUUUCAAUAGUGACUGAUGGCCCCAAUCCAUCCAUAAGCUGAUAACCCUCAGGUUAAUUAAUAUAAUAGUACCGGCGUUUUGUCUGAUGGGUUUUUCACAUGUUCAUCCAUUUUUGCUUCUUUUUUCAUCUGAACAGGUUUAAAACAUGGUCAGUGAAUUAUAGCAUCGGAAGUAAAGUAGUCAUUUCUGAGUUCAUCCGAUCGAUGAGUCCUACCAUGAAGCAAAAACAUG
rnacentral:lncRNA from 1 species